CAUAAAUGGAGUAUAACUUCUCAUUCUUCUGGUUGUACAUAAUGUAGAAUCAUACCAGUCAUGUAGUCAUAUAUGCACAUAGGUUAAUAAUGUCUGAUUCAUUCCAAAUUCCUUCAGGCCCCCAUAACCCUCCUCUCCCUUCACACCACUCUGCCUAAUUCAAAGUAACUCUGUUCUUCCCUAGCAUGCACACACACAAACACACACACACACAUACACACACCGUUAUUGUGAAGUAGCAUCCACAUAUCAGAGAAAACAUUUGGCCUUUGUUUUUUGGGGAUUGGCUAUUUCACUCAGCCUGAUAUUCUCCAGCUCCAUCAACAGUGUGAUUUUAUAGCCUGAGUAGUGAAAUUAUUGCUUUCAAUGGUACUGGAUAGAUUAAAGAAGGAAGAUCAUCUCAAAUGGUUGAAUCUCAGUGCAAGAUAUGGUCAGAAUCAUCCCACAAAAAAAAAUUUGGGGGGGGAUUCCAUUCAUCUUUUAUUUAUUUAUUUAUUUUUAAAUACACGACAGCAGUGGAAAACAUUAUAAUUCUUAUUACACAAUUUUUCAUAUCUCUGUAUAUAAAGUAUGUUCAUGCCAAUUUAUGCCUUUAUACAUGUACUUUGUUGUGUUUUUUUGCAUUACUAUUCUUAAUACACAUAUAUACCACAAUUUUUUGUAUCUCUGCAUGUAAAGUAUGUUGACACUCAAUUCAAGUGUUCAUACAUGUACUUUAUAUAAUGAUGUCCAUCACAUUCCACCAUCCUUGCUAAUCCUCAUUCUAGAAAUUUUUUAGUAUUCUGUUCUUCAGCCACAGAAUGCCUUCCAAUAAAAAUAAAUCAAGUUUGAUCCAAUAGGUUCCUGAAUUUAAGUGUCAAUUGACAGUGCUUACCAUGUUAAAUUCAGGAUAUUAAUAGAGAAAAGAGUGGAAAACCUCAAAGUUAAAUAGGCAUCAUUUUCCCAAGCCUUGAUGACAUUCCACAGCUAAAUAUGCCCUUCCAUCUUCUUAGAGUGGAAUAAGAAGAAGCUCCCUUACCUGCUGUUAACUUGCAGGAAGAGCUAAUUCUUGCCUCCGCCUGCCAGUGCUUCAAAUAUAAAUGGAAUAUAGAUGAUACCCUAGGAAUAUAGGAUAUCCUAGGAAUUCCCUAGAUCCAGCAUCGAAGUUAAUGGAGACUUACUGUAACCCAGCAUCAACCAGAAAUUCAAAUUCCUCAGGAAUGAAAGUUUA
rnacentral:lncRNA from 1 species